AUUCUUUUAACUUCGUCUCCUUUAUUUUCCUUACAGGGUUUCAGACAAAAUCAGAAAGAAGGAAGGUGCUCACAUUCCAAUUAAGGAGUAAUUCAUACAGUGUUCUUUAAUAGGUGCAGUUUUCUCCCAAGGAGAAUGGUAUUUGAUGUUUCCUUGUCGGACACUUGAUUGGGUGGCACAAUCAUCUGUACUUUUUCCCUCAUUGCAUGUGUUCCAUGCUUAAAUUACCAGCAAAGGGUUUUUAGGGCAUAAUCAGUUUGAGUAACUGAACAGUGGAAAUGUGAGCAGUUAAAAGAAACUCAAGGUGACAUAUGGUACAAAAAAGUCAAUCUGUCAAAAUUACAGUCGAGCACAUUUGUAUAUUGUAACUUUCUUAGUAUGUUAAGUUUUUUAUUAAUACCUUUAAAAUAAAUGAGAAAAUUUUUUAAACUUUAAAAGUUGAAUAUUUUUCCUUGGAAUACAUAGGAUAACGUAGUGUUGAGUCUGCCUAAAAAUGUAGAAAAAAACUGAUCAGGCUUAUUUGGGUAGAGUAGUAUUGUAAAGAUAGAACCAAUUGUAAAACAGCCUUACUGAUAAUCCAAGAUUAGGGAACAGGCUGGAAUGGUGGCUCACACCUGUAAUCUUAGCAUUCUGGGAGGCCAGGGCGGACGGAUCGUUCGAAAACAAGGUUAGGGAACAAAGGCAAAGACUGGGUCUAUACAGUCAGGAACCAAAGCCAUGUUAUGUUUGUUAGAAGUCAUCUCAUUCUUCUCUCUGUACUUAACCUUGUGUGUCUUUCUACUUCUCCCUCUUUCUCUUCUGACUUCUUCUAUGUCCGCAUCACAUACACUGCCUAACACAGUUGCCCCACCCAUUCUAUGUCAAGACCUUUCAGUUCCAUCUACCAUCUCCAUCUGAUUAUUGUUUCAGUUGAGUCUAAAGAUUGGUGUCCAUGCACCUAGGAUUCUCCCUAGGCCAUUUAGCUGUGAAGGAACAGGUUAAUACUAAGUGCUAUUCCAUCCAGAGGUGGUUUUUUUUUUGAGACAGAGUCUCACUCUGUUGCCUGGGCUAGAGUGCUGUGGCAUCAGCCUC